UACGUAGGAGGCGAGCGUUGUCCGGAGUUACUGGGCGUAAAGGGUGCGUAGGCGGCCGCGCGCGUGGCGGGGGAAAUCUCUCGGCUUACCCGGGAGGGUGCUUGCCAGACGGCGCGGCUUGAGGGACGGAGAGGGGCGUGGAAUUCCGGGGGGAGCGGUGAAAUGCGUAGAGAUCCGGAGGAACACCGACGGCGUAGGCAGCGCCCUGGCCGUUACCUGACGCUGAUGCACGAAAGCUGGGGGAGCGAACAGG
rnacentral:rRNA from 1 species